rnacentral:rRNA from 1 species
GAGGGGCAGCGGGGUAGCAAUACUGCCGGCGACCGGCGCACGGGUGCGUAACACGUAUGCAACCUACCUUAAACUGGGAGAUAGCCCGGGGAAACUCGGAUUAAUACCCCAUAAUACAUUUGGAACACAUGUUUUGAUUGUUAAAGAUUUAUCGGUUUAAGAUGGGCAUGCGUUCGAUUAGCUAGUUGGCGAGGUAAUGGCUCACCAAGGCUACGAUCGAUAGGGGGUCUGAGAGGAUGAUCCCCCACACUGGUACUGAGAUACGGACCAGACUCCUACGGGAGGCAGCAGUAGGGAAUAUUGGUCAAUGGAGGCAACUCUGAACCAGCCAUGCCGCGUGUAGGAAGAAGGCGUUCUGCGUUGUAAACUACUUUUGAUUGGGAACAAAUGACUCUUGCGAGAGUAGCUGAGUGUACCAAUAGAAUAAGCCACGGCUAACUACGUGCCAGCAGCCGCGGUAAUACGUAGGUGGCAAGCGUUGUCCGGAUUUAUUGGGUUUAAAGGGUGCGUAGGCGGCUUAAUAAGUCAGUGGUGAAAGCCGAUCGCUUAACGAUCGAACUGCCAUUGAUACUGCUAGGCUUGAGUAUAGUUGAGGUAGGCGGAAUUGACAGUGUAGCGGUGAAAUGCAUAGAUAUUGUCAAGAACACCAAUUGCGAAGGCAGCUUACUAAAGUAUAACUGACGCUGAGGCACGAAAGUGCGGGGAUCAAACAGGAUUAGAUACCCUGGUAGUCCGCACCGUAAACGAUGAUCACUCGCUGUGUGCGAUAAACAGUACGCGGGCCAAGCGAAAGCGAUAAGUGAUCCACCUGGGGAGUACGCCCGCAAGGGUG